rnacentral:lncRNA from 1 species
GGGUGUGUCUGUGAAGGUGUUUCUGGAGAACUCGUUAUUGAGGAAGGAAGACCCACCUUGAAUGUGGGCUGCACCAUGAACUGGAACGAACCUUUCUUUCCUUCCUCGAGUUUAUUUUGUCAGGCACAUUGAUCAUAACCACACGAGUACCUAGUGACUCCCCACGCACAUGUCCUGGAGCCGGAUGUAGGCUUAGAUUUUUCUCUAAACCUGCUUUAUUUAGGGUUCUGGAACACUCCAACCUCCCUUCUAGCCCACUGACCAGAGAUAAGUGUAGGUCAAUGUUGGGAGAAGCCUUUCUGAGGGGAUCGUGCAGAUCCUCAAGUAUACUGUGUUCUAGAGCUUAGAUGGCAGCAUGGAGGUGACCCCUCACUACCGUCAUUCCUCCUGGUCUUUGUGCUCCUUUUCCAUUUGAAAUAAACACGGGAUUGCUCUUACCAGGGUGUGUCAUUUGGUUUCUGGUAUAACACGUGUGUCUUUUAUACUUAGGAGAAGAUCUUGGCAGAACCUAGAAGACAAAGGAGACAUUUCAGUUCCUAAGUGCCUGUGUACACAAGGAAACUUGAAGAAAUGAACAUGUGUAUGAACCCCGUGACUUUAUGCAAACACUUUCCUCCUCUCUGAGAUCUCGUUGUCUUGUCGGGAAGAGAGUCCGGAGGACUGCUGCUUGCUGACGACCCACCACAAGCUCAGCACUUUAUAGAUAUCCUUUCUUCCACUCUUUAUAUGAUUUUACAACUAAGGCAUGCAGAUACUGUUACCCUACCUUUUUUCAGGUUAAGAAAAUCCAGUCACAAAGAUAAACAAAACAAAACAGAACAACAACAAAAGAGAGUCUGUGCCUGUUGUAGUUGAAGAACAUAAUUGUUAUACACACCCAAAGUCAUAACAAUGUUAUUCACAAUAGGAAAAAGGUGGGAACAGCUACGUGUCCAUUAAGAGGGGAGUGGUUAAACAGGCUAUGCCGUAUAUAAUUGGAUUAUUUUAGCUUUAAAAGGAGGGACAUUCCAACACUCAUGGACCUUAGUAUGUUAAGUGGUAUGAGCCAGUCAAGCAAAGCACAAAUCUUGGAUGAUUCCCCAUACAUAAGAUAAGAAUGUUAGUCCAAGUCACAGAGUGGUGGCUGUCAAGGGCAGAGGAAAAAAGAGAUGGGUCACUACUUAAUAGGUGUAGAGUUUCAGUUUUGCAGGAUAAAAUGUUGUGGGGAUCAGUUACAUAGCAAUGCAGCAGUAUUUAUAGCUAUUGAGUUUUACACUAAACAUGGUUAAGAUGGUAAAGCUUAUGUGUAUUUUAUUGUAACUAAAGAAUAAAUACAUACAGAUGUCAACCAAAACAACUAUAGCUACCAGGGUAGCCUCCAGUUAUCAGGGGUCGGGUGUGAUCUGUUGUUACUGAUUUAUACAGUCUGACCAAAUUAUCAAUGAUUUUCCUGCCAGUGGCUCAUCUCAGUGGUGUGCCACAGCUGUGGUCUGCCCUCCUCUAUCAAAAUAAGUGUGGGCCUACUAUCUUUAGCCUUGGAUUCUUUCUUUAGAGACUUACAAAUAUGAACCUUGAAUAAAGAUCUGUGUGUAGAGGACAUGCCAGGUGACCCUGGGGAAUCAUUCCAUAUGGGAGGUUGGACUGUGUUCCUUUCAGGGCAGUUAUGUGAAAUCUUACAGUUGUCAGAAGUGAUGAUUUUGCCCUUGGUGACAUCAGUAGAGCCCUAGGUGACAUUGCAAUGCUUAUCCAUGUCUUUUCAUGGCAUAUGCCUGUCACAUCUGCAAAUUAUUUGGACCAAUUUCUUCAGC